CGGUGCGCCUUAUGCAUGCAAGUCGAGCGAAGCUUUUCAGUAGUUUACUACAGAAAAUGACUGAGCGGCGAACGGGUGAGUAACGCGUGAGCAAUCUACCUUAGUUACAGGGAUAGCCCGAGGAAACUCGGAUUAAUACCUGAUAUUCUUUACAUUUCGCAUGAAAUCAAAAGGAAAGGUCAGCCGAACUAAGAUGAGCUCGCGUUCUAUCAGCUAGUUGGUGAGGUAAAAGCUCACCAAGGCAACGACGGAUAGCUGGUCUGAGAGGACGAUCAGCCACACUGGGACUGAGACACGGCCCAGACUCCUACGGGAGGCUGCAGCAGGGAAUAUUGCGCAAUGAGCGAAAGCUUGACGCAGCGACACCGCGUGUGGGAUGACGGAUCUAGGUUUGUAAACCACUUUCAGGAGGGAAGAAAAUGACGGUACCUCCACAAGAAGCCCCGGCCA
rnacentral:rRNA from 1 species